AACAUUCCGAAAGGGAUGCUAAUACCGCAUACGUCCUACGGGAGAAAGCAGGGGCUCUUUAUGACCUCGCGCUAAUAGAUGAGCCUAAGUCGGAUUAGCUAGUUGGUGGGGUAAAGGCCUGCCAAGGCGACGAUCUGUAGCGGGUCUGAGAGGAUGAUCCGCCACACUGGGACUGAGACACGGCCCAGACUCCUACGGGAGGCAGCAGUGGGGAAUAUUGGACAAUGGGGGGAACCCUGAUCCAGCCAUGCCGCGUGUGUGAAGAAGGCCUUUUGGUUGUAAAGCACUUUAAGUGGGGAGGAGGCUUACCUGGUUAAUACCUGGGCUAAGUGGACGUUACCCACAGAAUAAGCACCGGCUAACUCUGUGCCAGCAGCCGCGGUAAUACAGAGGGUGCGAGCGUUAAUCGGAUUUACUGGGCGUAAAGCGCGCGUAGGUGGUUAAUUAAGUCAAAUGUGAAAUCCCCGAGCUUAACUUGGGAAUUGCAUUCGAUACUGGUUAGCUAGAGUAUGGGAGAGGAUGGUAGAAUUCCAGGUGUAGCGGUGAAAUGCGUAGAGAUCUGGAGGAAUACCGAUGGCGAAGGCAGCCAUCUGGCCUAAUACUGACACUGAGGUGCGAAAGCAUGGGGAGCAAACAGGAUUAGAUACCCUGGUAGUCCAUGCCGUAAACGAUGUCUACUAGCCGUUGGGGGAUUUGAUCCUUUAGUGGCGCAGCUAACGCGAUAAGUAGACCGCCUGGGGAGUACG
rnacentral:rRNA from 1 species